rnacentral:rRNA from 1 species
UACGUAGGGGGCAAGCGUUGUCCGGAGUUAUUGGGCGUAAAGAGCGCGCAGGCGGCUAGUUAAGUCAGAUGUGAAAGGCUGCGGCUCAACCGCAGAGCUGCAUCUGAAACUGAUUAGCUUGAGUGCGGGAGAGGAUAGUGGAAUUCCCGGUGUAGCGGUGGAAUGCGUAGAGAUCGGGAGGAACAGCAGUGGCGAAGGCGCCUGUCUGGACUGUAACUGACGCUGAGGCGCGAAAGCGUGGGGAGCAAACAGG